UCCAAGACACUGGAUCAACAGCUGAUCCACAUUGCCCUGCAAUCAAGUACAAAGUCAAAGGAAUCUCGAAGUGAGCGAGCACGAAAUCGAGAAGGAAUAUCGAACUAAGCGAAAACAAAAUAACGUGCCCUGAUGGAAACUAACAAGCACCAUAGGAUUUACAUAAGUAACUGCUACUAGUGCAAUGCUUGCUGAUGUUGGUGCAGAAUGAAUAUAGGCCAUACAUUUUAAAAAGUUCUCUUUGUUCACUUCUGGUUAAUUGGUUAAUUUAAUAAAUACAUUAUUAAAAAAAAAAAAAAAAAAAAAUACACGCAAUCCAUGAUUUUUGCUCUUUUUUCAGUUUUCUGCCAUUUCAAAAAGCUUUGCUAUGAUUGCUCCGUUAGUCAAAAUUUUCCAUGAUAACGAUGCACAGCCUUAUUCAUACUGUAAUUUUAUGACACUACAUGAACCCCUGAUAAAAACUGAAAAAAAAAACAAUAAAAAAAAAAAAAAAAUUCUUCUCAUUCACUCCCACCUCAUGUAAUUUUUCUGUCAAAGGUCAUAAGUAUGUUAAGCUGUUCUGUAAAACAUUUUUAAAAAAUGAUCAGAAACAUUUGUUAGUGCAUCCUCUGGGAAUUUACAGUUCCUGCGUGUCUGGUUCCGGUCACAGAACUGUAUCAAGGUGGUUGAUGUAUGGAGGACCAAAAAUGCCUAUAUUUAUUCAUGUAUUUUAGUCAAUUAUUUAUUAAAUAAUUUAUUUUUUUUUCCAUAUUUUGAUGACUCACCUCAUCCUCUCGUCAUAUAAAUUUGAGUUAGGCUGCGUCUACGUCUCUCGGCAACGUGCCACGUAUUGGGUGAUGUCAGAAGUCUCGUCUUAUUUCACCCUUUUGUAUGCCCCUCGAGCCCUUGUACACUCCUGGACUCACCUGUCCCUGGAAAUACGCCAUUAAAGUCUUCAAGUCCAUAAUCCGCUGGUGCAGAGGGCUCAGUUUGGGACUGGACCUAAAUGUGCAGUCUUUCCCCCACUUGCAGACUUUCCCGUUGGAAAGCCCCCCAGGGACGUUCCCGUUGAGUCCGGAGUAGCUAGGGCCGCACGAGCCUACGAUUCACCAAGUCUGCAAGGCUGGCUCAUGCAGACUUUCUUUUUUUGUUUUUUGAGAUCCAGAGAGUCAGCUUGGGUUCAGGCUUCACAAGACUUUGACAGUGGUAUUACCCAAAAUUCAUAGAAAUAACAAUGUAAAGAUAUAAAAGACUUCAAGGGAGCAAUGCCAAUAAAGAAAGAAAGAAAAUAAUGGUAAAAACAUUGCGGAAAAACAACCAAAGAAGGUCUUCCAAUGUAACACACAAUUCAUAUAGUCUAAAUGUACACUCAUUUGCAGACACUGAUUUAUUUCAAAUUUAUAAGUGGUUGAAAUCCACAGCAACAAGUGAGGCCUGAAGUCCCGUCUCAGCUUAUUUUAUUCCCUCACAACCCUGUGCCCUUGCAGACUUGUUGUAAUGAUGCUGAGCACUUCAGUCAACGUCACAGUCCACAAGACUGAAGCCUGCGGACUGCUGACAUUUGCAUUCAGCCAGUGUCCCCACCGGUCAACCAACGCCACUUCCAGCAGAAACCUGAUUUCCCCAAUGAAUGGAACUGCGGUGUUGUUUAUUGUGCGAUGUGAAACAUGGUCACCUCUCACCCAGGACACCAGAGUCUGAGCCUUGCCAGAACAUCACUCGUUACAAUAUUAUAUUGAAGCUAUUAAAAAAAAACUGGAUUUGU